rnacentral:tRNA from 1 species
GAUCCCGUAGCUCAACCGGAUAGAGCAACUGCCUUCUAAGCAGUAGGUUGCAGGUUCGAGUCCUGCCGGGAUCGCCA